GAUGGGGGAGGAGAAGAGAGAGAAGAGAGAGAGGGGGAGAGAGAGGCAAGAGGAGAAAGGGAGAGAAGCAAGAGAUAGGACCACAGGGGAUUGGUCUGAGCUCUCUGCUGGAGAAACACCAUGUCUAUAUAGAGUUGACAGGGAGGUAGGGUUAUUAUACACAUCUGUACAAGGAGGGGGGGAUUACUACACACCCAUAAAACACGGAGGCAGGGUUAUUAUAUACGGCAAAACCUGGGGGCAAGUUUAGCUAAUUGGGUAGGAGCCAUCUCUGUUUGGGAACAGUCACCAGUCCAUAAGGGUUAGGUAUGUGUAAGGGGAGCUACAGUGGAAUUUUCAGUCCACACUGUCAACAUGAAGGUGGGGAAGAGAGCUAUAGUAGACAUUUUCCCACACACCACCCUGUCAAUACAUGGACCAGAGGAAGACUUUGCCAUUUCUGUGUGGGUGUGAGGCUUUGAGGUUCCUUGACAUGGCUAUGCCAAUGUCACAACAGAGAUUCUCUCAGUGCUUCACUAGUUCAGGGUGCCCUCUGCUUCCUGUACUUUAUGAGAUCCCUCUCUGAUAUCCUCCAUCAACCCAUCAUUGCAUUCAGAAAGACACAAAUCUGUCAAUCUGUGACAGAUAUAGCUUGAUACUAGAACAAACUCUAACUGACCUCCUUGCCUGGGUCCUGCCUAUGGAGUCUUGUCCUUGGGUGAGAGCUAUAGCACGACCCCUUCAUAUCUGAUCACACGGACCUGCCUUCUGUAGGGAUCUCCCUUCCUAGUGACUUUCUCCCCUCUACCCUGUCACCCAUUGGCUUGCUGGCUAUUAAUCCUCAGCUGGGUGCUGUCAUGGAGGGAGCUAAUCUUUCUCCCUAUUGCAGAAGUCCUGAUGCUUAUCCCAACAGGCCUACCUUAUCAUGUAAGUGUCAGGAUGAUUUUUCUUCAACAGAAGGACAGAUUGUACCUGGCAGAAACCCAAACCUUGACACGGUCUUGUUUGCUUUCUUCAUUUUUCUUGCAUGAUUCAAAUUGAAUUUUAAAUUUGCUCAAUCAAUUCAUUUAUUCAAAGCUGUCCUCUGCAUGUAAUCCCUUUAUCCCCCUCAUAUUUACCAAGGGCCUCUCUGUGCCUGCCAGGACGAUGACAUGGGCUCUGUGUCUGAGGUAGAGGGAUGGCAUUCACUCUGCCUGACUUGUCAGGGUACUAGGAAAGGUUUGACAAGAAAGCUUAAAUGACCCUGUCUCUUUCCAGAGGGCUAAGCAUCUUCCUAAAUGACAGGGUGGUUUUCUGGGUCCUGUUGCUUCUCCAUGGAUUCACCUCACACACAGCAGCCCUGAACUAAGGCAUGCUUCCAGGCCUAAAGCUUAGGAGGAUAAACAGCCAUCAGUAGCCGGAGGGUUCUAGCAGCCCAUAUCACAACUUCAGUGAUGGAGAAUCCUGGGAUCACUGCCGGACCACUGUGGAGAUAGUGUGGAACUGAGGAAAGUCAGAGAACUCUCUAGCCCUGCCUUUUUCUGAAGGAUAGAAAAAGACAAGAAGAAAAUGCCAACAAGAGAGCCCCUGUCUUAGUCAGGGUUUCUAUUCCUGCACAAACAUCAUGAGCAAGAAGCAAGCUGGGGAGGAAAGGGUUUAUUCAGCUCACACUUCCACAUUGCUGCUCAUCACCAAAGGAAGUCAGGACUGGAACUCAUACAGGACAGGAACUUGGGAGGCAGGAGCUGACGCAGAUGCUGCUGACUGGAUCGCUUCCCCUGGCUUGCUCAGCUUGCUUGCUUAUAGAACCCUAGACCACCAGCCGAGGGAUGGCACCACCCACCCUUCAUCACUAAUGAGAAAAUACCUUACGGCUGGAUCUCAUGGAGGCUUUUCCUCAAGGGAGGCUCCCUUCUCUGCGAUAACUCCAGCUUGUGUCAAGUGGACACACAAAACCAGCCAGUACAACCCUCUUAGUUAUUCCUGGCACAUUUGCUUUUCGGCCAUCUUCUCUGCCAGGACAAGUGAGGUCACCAGGACAGCUCAGGCACCUGUGCCAGCUAGCAGCAUUAGUACUCAAGAAGCAGAAACUGUCCCCAGAGAAGACUUUACAGCCACAGAAGAAGUGAGACAAGAUGAGGCCUUCUGGGGUCACCCCCAGGAGAAUAUGGGGGCAUGACCUGGUGGUCCCAUCUGCAACCUGUUCUAGGAGGUCCCGGAGAUAAUCUCUCAUAGCAACUAGCAGUGACCUCAAAGUCUUUGUUUGAUCAUGUUCCCUGCUGGACCCUGAAGCCCAGAGAAGUGUCCCUGCCACCAGGAAUCCCUGAAGAAAACUAAGACUUAGAUGACUCUAACCAGGAAUGGGAUUUAAAUGAGUCUCAGCACUAGUGCACGCCGAGCAUAAAAAGCACACCUUGCGAUGUCUACCCAAAGCUAUUGCCUACCAGAUAGAAUGGAAGGAACAGGUCAGAUCCUGGGUCACAGAGGUGGUGUACCUUACCGAGUGGGAGGCACAAUGGUGAUUUAUGAAGUUCAGACGACACGGGCAGUGCUAUGGGCAUAGCUUCCACCUCAGGCCUGAACAAGGAAAUGUAACUCAGCGUUGCUUCAUUUUGUUACGAAGACCUCUUUUCCACUGGAAGAAAAGCUCUCUUUACCCGGCACAUUUCAUCUCAUGGAAUAUACUCACACAAAGGAGAUGCUUUAUGAAGACACCCAGUUUAAUAAUAUACAAUGUAGGUCACGUUGCUUGAAGAGGAGCCUUGAAUCUGCCCCUGAACUACUUGUGUGUUCCCCGUGGUCAUGAGCUAAGCCACUGGCUUCAACAAGCUUUCUCUGCCAUGAAGUGUUCCCUCACCACAGGCCCCACGGCAACACACAACGGCCCAAGACUUCUAAAGCCGCCAAUCAAAAUAAACUUUCGCUGACUCACAGAGAGCCGUGGUGAAUCCUACGACACAGAGAUUCACAGAGAGCGGUUACUGAAGCCUACAGGCAGCGUCUCAGGAGUCAUUCAUUCACUCUCUCUUGCAGUACGCCUAUCCGAUUCUUGCCCCAGGAAAACUGUCCUUUCUCUCCUGCAGCAGGGCAUCCAGAUGGCUACUCGGAUACCUCAGAUUAUGAAAAAGUCUACUCUGGCUUGAGCUUGAUUCUCCCAAAUUCAGAUAUCGCAAACUUAAUCUACAACUCCACCAAUUUGGGAUGUGGGGACUUAGCGGGCAGUAUUUAGGUCAUGGUGGAUUAAUGUGAUAAAAGGCUCUCCAACUCUC